rnacentral:rRNA from 1 species
UACGGGGGGGGCAAGCGUUGUUCGGAAUUACUGGGCGUAAAGGGCUCGUAGGUGGCCAACUAAGUCGGACGUGAAAUCCCUCAGCUUAACUGGGGAACUGCGUCCGAUACUGGAUGGCUUGAGUUUGGGAGAGGGGUGCGGAAUUCCAGGUGUAGCGGUGAAAUGCGUAGAUAUCUGGAGGAACACCGGUGGCGAAGGCGGCAUCCUGGACCAACACUGACACUGAGGAGCGAAAGCCAGGGGAGCAAAAGGG